rnacentral:rRNA from 1 species
UGGGGAAUUUUGGACAAUGGGCGAAAGCCUGAUCCAGCAAUGCCGCGUGUGUGAAGAAGGCCUUCGGGUUGUAAAGCACUUUUGUCCGGAAAGAAAUCCUUGGCUCUAAUACGGUCGGGGGAUGACGGUACCGGAAGAAUAAGCACCGGCUAACUACGUGCCAGCAGCCGCGGUAAUACGUAGGGUGCAAGCGUUAAUCGGAAUUACUGGGCGUAAAGCGUGCGCAGGCGGUUUGCUAAGACCGAUGUGAAAUCCCCGGGCUCAACCUGGGAACUGCAUUGGUGACUGGCAGGCUAGAGUAUGGCAGAGGGGGGUAGAAUUCCACGUGUAGCAGUGAAAUGCGUAGAGAUGUGGAGGAAUACCGAUGGCGAAGGCAGCCCCCUGGGCCAAUACUGACGCUCAUGCACGAAAGCGUGGGGAGCAAACAGGAUUAGAUACCCUGGUAGUCCACGCCCUAAACGAUGUCAACUAGUUGUUGGGGAUUCAUUUCCUUAGUAACGUAGCUAACGCGUGAAGUUGACCGCCUGGGGAGUACGGUCGCAAGAUUAAAACUCAAAGGAAUUGACGGGGUCAUAGCUGUUUCCU